UACGAGGGGAGCAAGCGUUGUUCGGAUUUACUGGGCGUAAAGCGUGCGUAGGCGGUGUCUUAAGUUUGUUGUGAAAUCUCCCGGCUUAACCGGGAGGGUGCGGCGAAUACUGAGAUGCUGGAGUGCCGGAGGAGUAAGCGGAAUUCCUGGUGUAGCGGUGAAAUGCGUAGAUAUCAGGAGGAACACCUGCGGUGUAGACGGCUUACUGGACGGUAACUGACGCUGAGGCACGAAAGCGUGGGUAGCAAACAGG
rnacentral:rRNA from 1 species